AUUGAACGCUGGCGGCAUGCCUUACACAUGCAAGUCGAACGGUAACGGGCCUUCGGGUGCCGACGAGUGGCGAACGGGCGAGUAAUACAUCGGAACGUGCCCGAUCGUGGGGGAUAACGAGGCGAAAGCUUUGCUAAUACUGCAUACGAUCUACGGAUGAAAGCAGGGGACCGCAAGGCCUUGCGCGGACGGAGCGGCCGAUGGCAGAUUAGGUAGUUGGUGGGAUAAAAGCUUACCAAGCCGACGAUCUGUAGCUGGUCUGAGAGGAUGAUCAGCCACACUGGGACUGAGACACGGCCCAGACUCCUACGGGAGGCAGCAGUGGGGAAUUUUGGACAAUGGGCGCAAGCCUGAUCCAGCCAUGCCGCGUGCAGGAUGAAGGCCUUCGGGUUGUAAACUGCUUUUGUACGGAACGAAAAGCCUUCUUUUAAUACAGGAGGGUCAUGACGGUACCGGAAGAAUAAGCACCGGCUAACUACGUG
rnacentral:rRNA from 1 species